UGAACGCUGGCGGCAGGCCUAACACAUGCAAGUCGAACGGUAACAGGAAGAAGCUUGCUUCUUUGCUGACGAGUGGCGGACGGGUGAGUAAUGUCUGGGAAACUGCCUGAUGGAGGGGGAUAACUACUGGAAACGGUAGCUAAUACCGCAUAACGUCGCAAGACCAAAGAGGGGGACCUUCGGGCCUCUUGCCAUCGGAUGUGCCCAGAUGGGAUUAGCUAGUAGGUGGGGUAAAGGCUCACCUAGGCGACGAUCCCUAGCUGGUCUGAGAGGAUGACCAGCCACACUGGAACUGAGACACGGUCCAGACUCCUACGGGAGGCAGCAGUGGGGAAUAUUGCACAAUGGGCGCAAGCCUGAUGCAGCCAUGCCGCGUGUAUGAAGAAGGCCUUCGGGUUGUAAAGUACUUUCAGCGGGGAGGAAGGGAGUAAAGUUAAUACCUUUGCUCAUUGACGUUACCCGCAGAAGAAGCACCGGCUAACUCCGUGCCAGCAGCCGCGGUAAUACGGAGGGUGCAAGCGUUAAUCGGAAUUACUGGGCGUAAAGCGCACGCAGGCGGUUUGUUAAGUCAGAUGUGAAAUCCCCGGGCUCAACCUGGGAACUGCAUCUGAUACUGGCAAGCUUGAGUCUCGUAGAGGGGGGUAGAAUUCCAGGUGUAGCGGUGAAAUGCGUAGAGAUCUGGAGGAAUACCGGUGGCGAAGGCGUGCCCCCUGGAGGAAAGAACUAACGCUCAGGUGGGAAAAGCAUGGGGAGCAAACAGGAUUAGAUGCCUGGGUAGUCCACGCCGUAAACGAUGUCGACUUGGAGGUUAUGCCCUUGAGGACGUGGCUUCCGGAGCUAACGCGUUAAGUCGACCGCCUGGGGAGUACGGCCGCGAGGUUAAAACUCAAAUGAAUUGACGGGGGCCCGCACAAGCGGUGGAGCAUGUGGUUUAAUUCGAUGCAACGCGAAGAACCUUACCUGGUCUUGACAUCCACAGAACUUUCCAGAGAUGGAUUGGUGCCUUCGGGAACUGUGAGACAGGUGCUGCAUGGCUGUCGUCAGCUCGUGUUGUGAAAUGUUGGGUUAAGUCCCGCAACGAGCGCAACCCUUAUCCUUUGUUGCCAGCGGUCCGGCCGGGAACUCAAAGGAGACUGCCAGUGAUAAACUGGAGGAAGGUGGGGAUGACGUCAAGUCAUCAUGGCCCUUACGACCAGGGCUACACACGUGCUACAAUGGCGCAUACAAAGAGAAGCGACCUCGCGAGAGCAAGCGGACCUCAUAAAGUGCGUCGUAGUCCGGAUUGGAGUCUGCAACUCGACUCCAUGAAGUCGGAAUCGCUAGUAAUCGUGGAUCAGAAUGCCACGGUGAAUACGUUCCCGGGCCUUGUACACACCGCCCGUCACACCAUGGGAGUGGGUUGCAAAAGAAGUAGGUAGCUUAACCUUCGGGAGGGCGCUUACCACUUUGUGAUUCAUGACUGGGG
rnacentral:rRNA from 1 species